CGAGCGCAACCCUAUUGUUAGUUGCCAUCAUUCAGUUGGGCACUCUAGCGAGACUGCCGGUAAUAAAACCGGAGGAAGUGGGAUGACGUCAAAUCAUCAUGCCCCUUAUGACCUGGGCUACACACGUGCUACAAUGGUUGGUACAACGAGUUGCGAGUCGGUGACGGCGAGCUAAUCUACUUAAAGCCAAUCUCAGUUCGGAUUGUAGGCUGCAACUCGCCUACAUGAAGUCGGAAUCGCUAGUAAUCGCGGAUCAGCAUGCCGCGGUCGAAUACGUUCCGGGCCUU
rnacentral:rRNA from 1 species